AGGUGAACACGCAUCUUGUUUUCGAAAAACAACAGGGAUGAAUACAAGAGUUCUACAAUAUUGUUGGGUGUUUGCUAUUUUUUGGGCGGUGUUGACGUCAUCAGUUCAUUCGGCGCCACGAAAAGUCAAAAGAGUAGCUCAGGAGGAAACCAAUUGGAACCCAACCAAGACAGAGAACCCCGAAAACCAGGAUGUGUUCUUACGCGCCAGUAGUGGUAUUCGCCCAUGUCCCGAAGGAUAUUUUCCUGAUGUCCACCAGAGCAUUUUCUGCUGUACGGCUGCAGACCACAACAUCCAGGCCAAGAACCAUGCCAACAACCAGGCCAACUACAACCGCAACUACGCGAUUUGACUGCAGUGGCAAAUCGGAUGGAAAUUCUGUCCACCCGCCAUCAAAGUGCGCAUUGCGCCAUUAUCAUUGCGACAGCGGAACGCUCGCCGUGGUCCUAAGUGUUGCAUAAAACAACAAAUUCACAGCCUUAAGUAAUUAAUGACUGUUAACACUGAAACGUGAUUCCAGAACUGCGCCGGGGGAACAGCUUAUCACCCAGGGAAAGGCGGGUGCGAGUGGAUUUCUGAAGUGCCUGGAUGUUAGAAAGUCACAUCACGUAAGCACCACAGACAUUUUCCCUGUUUUCAAAUAACCUCUCAAAAGUAAUUACAUAAAUAAUUACUGGUUAUUCCGCACGAAGUAGCCUACUGCUGACGGGAGGGCUUUAUUUGAAAUAAACAUAUUUCCCAAUAUCGUGAGGAAUGAUCUAAUUAAAGUUAAGACACUCGUGACCUUACCCAAUUCAUUCGUAGUUUCAAAUCACGGAAGACAUAGCCACACGACCAUGAAGUUCCUCAAAAGACAGAAUUGUUUUUCUAAUGUGUUUUGCAUUUCCGCUAUGGUCCCAAUCAAAACGAAAACCGAAAACGAGUUUUUUCGCAAUGUCAUUGUUGUCUUUUGUGUGUCCACACCAGUCGUUUAAAAGGGGAUGCAGGACAGGUAAAGAGCAUGCAGUCGUGCUCGACCAGGUAAACACACAUCGUCUUUUCGCGAAACAACAGGGAGAUGAAAACAAGAGUUGUACAAUGUUGUUGGGUGAUUGCUAUUUUAUUGGCGGUGUUGACGUCAUUCGUUCAUUCGGCGCCACGGAAAUUCUAUUACUGGACAGAAUCAUCGGAGGAAAUCGAUUUGGACCCACCCACAACAGAGAAUAAUCAAGUCUAUUACGCUGCUCUGCAAACUAGUAUUCGCGCAUGUCCGGCCGGACAAUUUCGUGAUUUCCGCAACCAAUGCCGUAGAGCUGGUUAAGAAAUUAUGAAUUAAUGUUUACUCAUACAUUUUCGUAAAACAUUGGAUUUAUGUCGUUGUAUCGUUAGAGUUUAAUGGAAAUUCAUUACAAUAAAAUAGUAGUUGCAAUACA